AACCUUUGCUGUCUUGGGACGGAUCACCGCUGCAAGAGGGGAAGUUGCUACUGUGAUGAAUUCUGCCAUGUGGCACCAGACUGCCACCCAGACCACAGUGUCCUCUGCAACCCUGCUUCUCAGAUGACCAAGAUGGUGCUGCAGAUGGUGCUGAGGAUGGAGAACCCACCAAGCCCCGCUAGGAGCCACCUAGACUGGAUGCAGAGCAUGGCCCCAGCACCCGCAGAGCAGACACUGCGAUGACAACGGACGACACAGAAGUGCCCGCUAUGACUCUAGCACCGGGCCACGCCGCUCUGGAAACUCAAACGCUGAGCGCUGAGACCUCUUCUAGGGCCUCAACCCCAGCCGGCCCCAUUCCAGAAGCAGAGACCAGGGGAGCCAAGAGAAUUUCCCCUGCAAGAGAGACCAGGAGUUUCACAAAAACAUCUCCCAACUUCAUGGUGCUGAUCGCCACCUCCGUGGAGACAUCAGCCGCCAGUGGCAGCCCCGAGGGAGCUGGAAUGACCACAGUUCAGACCAUCACAGGCAGUGAUCCCGAGGAAGCCAUCUUUGACACCCUUUGCACCGAUGACAGCUCUGAAGAGGCAAAGACACUCACAAUGGACAUAUUGACAUUGGCUCACACCUCCACAGAAGCUAAGGGCCUGUCCUCAGAGAGCAGUGCCUCUUCCGACGGCCCCCAUCCAGUCAUCACCCCGUCACGGGCCUCAGAGAG
rnacentral:sRNA from 1 species